rnacentral:rRNA from 1 species
UAGGGAAUUUUGGGCAAUGGGGGAAACCCUGACCCAGCAACGCCGCGUGAGGGAUGAAGUAUUUCGGUAUGUAAACUUCGAAAGAAUAGGAAGAAUAAAUGACGGUACUAUUUAUAAGGUCCGGCUAACUACGUGCCAGCAGCCGCGGUAAUACGUAGGGACCAAGCGUUGUUCGGAUUUACUGGGCGUAAAGGGCGCGUAGGCGGCAUGACAAGUCACUUGUGAAAUCUCUGGGCUUAACCCAGAACGGCCAAGUGAUACUGUCGCGCUAGAGUGCAGAAGGGGCAAUCGGAAUUCUUGGUGUAGCGGUGAAAUGCGUAGAUAUCAAGAGGAACACCUGAGGUGAAGACGGGUUGCUGGGCUGACACUGACGCUGAGGCGCGAAAGCCAGGGGAGCAAACGGGAUUAGAUACCCUCGUAGUCCCUGAGCGGGCUGGCAAGGCGCAU